rnacentral:piRNA from 1 species
UGGGUCUAUGAAUCUGGCUCUGCCUC